rnacentral:pre_miRNA from 1 species
AUGCCUAGGUACUGGGUGCCACCCUGUGUUUUCUGUUAUUUUUUACUAGUGAACACAGCUGGUGGUAUCUCAGUAGCUUUGCAUCC